GAUGAAUGCUUCAUUAUUCAUAAAAUACAAUAUAGAUCAAUAAAGAUAGAUCAGAUUUCAAUACACAAAUUAUGCCGAUACGGCUCGUCGAAGAAAUCACACGUCGUACGUCGCACAAACGUUACAAAGAAAUAUAUUUCUACACAGGUACCGACCAAUGUGGCUGUUAUAUAACUAUUGAUGUCUAUCCUAAAGAUUUAUUUAAUACUGCAUGAGAUGUGUAACGGAAUAGAAAGAUCCUUCGAUUUCUGAAAUAUCGCAAACUAUCUUGCUUCUAUACAAUGCUACUCGGAAUGUUCUUAAAACUUUAAUUAAAAGCAUUGUGAAAUUUCCAAAUUCCAACUUUGGCACUGACUUCGCUGAAACUUGAUGCUCAAGAAAUAUGGAGAAGUAAACUUCCUUGUUAUCAAACUCGUUUAUCAGCUUUGAUAUAGUAGAUUUCUACCCGUCUAUAUCAGAAGAGCUCCUGGGAGCCACGUGACCAGCUCUGACCAGGGUCUUUCCUCCACAAGAGGGAAGAGCAUGAGAACAAGGUUGCGUUUUUGUAUGUGAGCAAUCAGCGUGGAAAUUUGCAACAAAUUUGUACCCUAAUGCAAAUUUGUGGCCAAUUUGGUUUGGCAUUUGCUACUAAUGUACGAGUAUGCGAAAGUAUACGCCAAUUUGUUGCCAAAUUGUUUGAGAACAAUACAACUAUAUUCUAG